GAGGACUUAGCUUAAUAAAAGUGUUUGAUUUGCAUUCAAUUGAUGUAAGGUAUGAUCUUGCAGUCCUUA
rnacentral:tRNA from 1 species